rnacentral:rRNA from 1 species
UACGAAGGGGGCUAGCGUUGCUCGGAAUCACUGGGCGUAAAGGGUGCGUAGGCGGCAUUGCAAGUCGGAUGUGAAAUCCCUCGGCUUAACCAAGGAAGUGCAUCCGAAACUGCAGUGCUUGAGUACUUAAGAGGAUCGCGGAAUUCCCGGUGUAGAGGUGAAAUUCGUAGAUAUCGGGAGGAACACCAGUGGCGAAGGCGGCGAUCUGGGAAGAUACUGACGCUGAGGUGCGAAAGCGUGGGGAGCAAACAGG